CCCAGACUCCUACUGGAGGCAGCAGUGCGGAAUAUUGGUCCAUGGGCGAGAUCCUGCACCAGCCACGUCGCGUGAAGGAUGACGGCCCUACGGGUUGUCCACUUCUUUUGUCCUGGAGCAAUUGGGUCCACGCGUUUUCUUCGCGAGAGUCCCUGCAGAAAAAUCCUCUUCUAACUCCUUGCCCGCAGCCGCUUUCCUACGGAGGCUGCUCUCGUUAUCCGGAUUUAUUGGGUUUAAAGGGUGCGUAGGCGGAAGAUCAAGUCAGAGUGAAAAAUUCGGGGAGCAACCCCGUCGUGCCGUUGAAACUGAUGUUCUUGAGUGGGCGAGAAGGAUGCGGAAUGCGGGGUGUAGCGGUGAAAUGCAUAGAGAGAACGCAGAACUCCGAUUGCGAAGGCAGCAUACCGGCGCCCAACUGACGCUGAAGCACGAAAGCGUGGGUAGCGAACAGGAUUAGAUACCCGGGUAA
rnacentral:rRNA from 1 species